rnacentral:rRNA from 1 species
GACGAACGCUGGCGGCGUGCUUAACACAUGCAAGUCGAACGUGAUUUUUGUGGAAAUUCUUUCGGGAAUGGAAAUGAAAUGAAAGUGGCGAACGGGUGAGUAACACGUGAGCAACCUACCUUACACAGGGGGAUAGCCGUUGGAAACGACGAUUAAUACCGCAUGAGACCACAGAAUCGCAUGAUAUAGGGGUCAAAGAUUUAUCGGUGUAAGAAGGGCUCGCGUCUGAUUAGCUAGUUGGAAGGGUAAAGGCCUACCAAGGCGACGAUCAGUAGCCGGUCUGAGAGGAUGAACGGCCACAGUGGAACUGAGACACGGUCCAAACUCCUACGGGAGGCAGCAGUGGGGAAUAUUGCACAAUGGGGGGAACCCUGAUGCAGCGACGCCGCGUGAGCGAAGAAGGUUUUCGAAUCGUAAAGCUCUGUCCUAUGAGAAGAUAAUGACGGUAUCAUAGGAGGAAGCCCCGGCUAAAUACGUG